ACCUGGAUGGCUUAGUUGGUUAAGCACCUGACUUCGGUUCAGGUCAUGAUCUCAUGGUUUGUGGGUUUGAGCCCUGUGUCAGGCU
rnacentral:tRNA from 1 species